UCUUAACAUACCAAGCUUUUUAUUUGAUCUGGGUCCAUUUAUCUUUACUAAUUCAAAAUAUUCUUCCCUUGUACAGGGAUGUCAGUAACAAUAGCAUCCACGGCAUAAUUCCUUUAUUUUUGCCCCCAGUGUAACCCAUAUAAACCUGGCAUUCAAUCGGCUGAGUCAGAAUAGUCCAUUCUCCUUAACUUCCUUGAAAUCUCUCCGUUAUUUGUAAGUUCUUGUAAUCUGUGAGAGUGUUAAAGUCUCUGGUUUAUGAGUAGCCAGUUCAUAUUUGCCAACCGAUCUUUUUUCCAAGUGCAGGAAUCUGAGUCACAAUUCCCUCUCUGGUUCCAUUGGGGACAUAUUUACUGGUCUGACGAAUCUAAAACAAAUUGACCUGCAGAGCAACCAAUUUACUGGAUCAGUUAACUUCCUGGCGGGUCUCGCUCUAUCAUACCUGCAUGUCUU